UAGGGAAUCUUCGGCAAUGGACGAAAGUCUGACCGAGCAACGCCGCGUGAGUGAAGAAGGUUUUCGGAUCGUAAAACUCUGUUGUUAGAGAAGAACAAGGACGUUAGUAACUGAACGUCCCCUGACGGUAUCUAACCAGAAAGCCACGGCUAACUACGUGCCAGCAGCCGCGGUAAUACGUAGGUGGCAAGCGUUGUCCGGAUUUAUUGGGCGUAAAGCGAGCGCAGGCGGUUUCUUAAGUCUGAUGUGAAAGCCCCCGGCUCAACCGGGGAGGGUCAUUGGAAACUGGGAGACGUGAGUGCAGAAGAGGAGAGUGGAAUUCCAUGUGUAGCGGUGAAAUGCGUAGAUAUAUGGAGGAACACAAGUGGCGAAGGCGGCUCUCUGGUCUGUAACUGACGCUGAGGCUCGAAAGCGUGGGGAGCAAACAGG
rnacentral:rRNA from 1 species